rnacentral:lncRNA from 1 species
UGUGAGACAAUGAUUCGAAAACCUGGUAGACCAUGUUUACAAAACAGGUAGGUUUGUGUUCAUAGACAGGUAGACCAUUUUGUCUCACAAAAAAAGUAGACAAUUUCUCGUAAAUAAGCAGACCAUGCUUCGUAAACAAGUAGACCUCUCAAGAAUUCUUCAAGUGUGUGUGAAUUCUGGACUCUUUAGAGUUGGUCCACUCGUACUGUGAGACAAUGAUUCAAAAACUUGGAAGACCAUGUUUACAAAACAGGUAGGUUCGUGUUCGUAAACAGGUAGACCAUUUUGUCUCACAAAAAAAGUAGACCAUUUCUCGUAAAUAAGCAGACCAGGCUUCAGAAACAGGUAGACCUCUCAAGAAUUCUUCAAGUGUGUGUGAAUUCUGGACUCUUUAGAGUUGGUCUACUCGUAGUGUGAGACAAUGAUUUGAAAAUAUGAUAGACAAUGUUUACAAAACAGGUAGGUUUGUGUUCGUAAACAGGUAGACUAUUUUGUCUCACAAAAAAAGUAGACUCUUUCUCGUAAAUAAGCAGACCAGGGUUCGUUAAUAGGUAGACCUCUCAAGAAUUCUUUAAGUGUUGUAAGUGUGUGUGUGAAUUCUGGACACUUUAGAGUUGGUCUACACGUAAUAUGAGUCAAUGAUUCGGAAACCUGGUAGACCAUGUUUACAAAACAAGUAGGUUUAUGUUCGUAAACAGGUAGACCAUUUUGUCUCACAAAAAAAGUAGACCCGUACUCGUAAAUAAGUAGACCAAGCUUCCUAAACAGGUAGACCUCUCAAGAAUUCUUUAAGUGUGUGUGAAUUCUGGACUCUUUAGAAUUGGUCUACUCGUACUGUGAGACAAUGAUUCGAAAACUUGGAAGACCAUGUUUACAAAACAGGUAGGUUUGUGUUCGUAAACAGGUAGACCAUUUUGUCUCACAAAAAAAGUAGACCCGUACUCGUAAAUAAACAGACCAGGCUUUGUAAACAGGUAGACUUCUUAAGAAUUCUUCAAGUGUGUGAAUUCUGGACUCUUUAGAGUUGGUCUAAUUGUAGUGUGAGACAAUGAUUCGAAAACUUGGUAGACCAUGUUUACAAAACAGGUAGGUUUGUAUUCGUAAACAGGUAAACCAUUUUGUCUCACAAAAAAAGUAGACCAUUUCUCAUAAAUAAGCAGACCAGGCUUUGUAAACAGGUAGACCUUUCAAGAAUUCUUCAAGUGUGUGUGAAUUUUGGACACUUUAGAGUUGGUCUACACGUAGUAUUAGUCAAUGAUUCGGAAACCUGGUAGACCAUGUUUACAAAACAUGUAGGUUAGUGUUCGUAAACAGGUAGACCAUUUUGUCUCACAAAAAAAGUAGACUUGUACUCGUAAAUAAGCGGAUCAGGCUUCAGAAACAGGUAGACCUCUCAAGAAUUCUUCAAGUGUGUGUGAAUUCUGGACUCUUUAGAGUUGGUCUACUCGUAGUGUGAGACAAUGAUUCGAACAGCUUGUACACCAUGUUCACAAAACAGGUAGGUUAGUCUUCGUAAACAAGUAGACCAUUUUGAUCUCGUUCUCUUUUAAUCUUGACCGUUGAUUCCUUCUUUGAAAACCCAACCAAGGUCAACUGACCCAAGUCGGGUCAAGCACUCUUCUCUCGCGUACGAUGAGAGCUGAGAAGCUCUCCGUCCCCGGCCGUCUUCUCCGACGCCGCCCGGUCGACUCUGGCCACCAUUCUCCACAAAACCACCACCAAAUUUCUUCUCUCUUUCCCCUCUACAUAACCCAGCCCGUGAAUCGCACAUACUGAUUCAAAGACAAAUCAACGACGAGAAGCUCCGACUGUGUUCGUUUGUUUCCGCCUUCUCCGGUGAUGACUUGGCCUAGAACUGGCAUAUUCGAACUUUUCCCUUCAUUCUUUGCACACUAGUGCCCUUAAUCCCUCGAAUCUUUUACAAAUCUUAAUAACCCCUUUACUGUCGAAUUUGAGUUUUCCGACGACCUGCUACGGUGGAUGCCGACGAGACUUUCUAGCGUCCUCUACUUCUUCCGAUGACCUAGGUCGACGUCAGAGGUGUUAAGCAGUGGUAAGUGACUUUGUAGCUACUGAGCAGGGUUGCUGUGUUUUCCGGUGUGUUUUUGUGAGAGAGAGAGAGAGAGAGAGAGAGAGAGAGAGAGAGAGAGAGAGAGAGAGAGAGAGAGAGA